rnacentral:rRNA from 1 species
CAAUGUAUUGAGCUAACUGAUACUAAUGAUCCGAGAGGCUUGACCAUAUAACCUCA